UGCCACUUCCUGCUUCAUACCUCCCUCUGGGAUAGUGGGUUCUGGAAUCAGUGGGAGCUCAGAGGGGAGAGGUAGCCGGGUCUCUGGUAAUCACUGGCCCUUGGCUGAGGGAGUGCAGCGGAUCCCACUUGUAUUCCACCGUCACUCGCCACAGGCCCAGGGUAAGGAACUGAGAAGCAACCCAAUAGCAGGUGCCUGCCCUCAGAGAGCCUGUUGUCUAUGGGUUGGGAAGGCUAGGAGAUAAAUAAUUAUACACACAAAGUUUCGGUGAGGUUCUUCUUACCCACUCUUGGUUACAGGAAAAGAUCACCUGUCUGGUUUCAUCUCUGCCCCUGCUAUGGACUACCAAGAGGAGCCAGACACAAAACCCCUUCCUGAAACGUGCCAGGCUUUGCUCUGCUAGAAUGACUUGGGUCCUGCUCUCAAACGUCAAGUCCAAGGUCAUCUGUUACCUCCUCCUUGAAGCCUCCUAUACCUUCCUAGACAACAGAGCCGUGGCUCCCAUUGUUCCCUGGAGCCCCGGGGAAGUCAGAAGCACAAAGUUCCCAUCCCAGAGUCAAGAUCCGCAACCCUGUGUCUGAAGGCCAGCUCCGCUCAUCUUCCUGUGUGAUACUGGACUAGCUGCUUCAACUCUCAAGCCUCAGGUUCCUUAACCAAAUGGUGCACUAGGUUGACUGGGCUCAUUUUGUGAAAAUGCAAGGAGACUGGCGCCAAUCAAGCACUCCGAGUCCGCCAGCUGAUAAGAGUGAGUGAGUACGCUUCGUCUUCGUGAUUCGGACUUUGAGUUCUGGAAGACGACUUCUCAGGCUGAGUAAGACGACUUCACAAUGGGUCAUGAUGUUCUUUUUGAAAAUUAAAAAAAACCCUCCAACUGUAGAAAUUCAACAAAUCCUGAAACCAAAAGGGUCUAUCCAACGAAUCAUGUCUACAGGCCGUCUCCUCUUACAGACUACAGUGAUGACCAAAGAGCACACCAUUGGCGCUCUCAGGAACCGGGGAAGAGGAAACCCAGGAAAGAAACAGAAUCCAGAGCUGAAGAGGUUGGAGGGCAGCAAAAGAGGGAAGACAAUCUUGUUCAUCUGCUGGUUCGCUCUCCAAAUGCCCUCACAAACAGGGCCAAGGGUGGAGCCCGGAGCUCAGUCUACGUCGCCACAAGCACGUCGGAGAUUCAAGAAGUUUGCACCACCUUUGCCUCCCCUACAGUCUGCAGUGGCAGGAAGCUGGAAUUGGGAACUGGAGCCAGGAAUCAAACCCAGAGAGCUGUAGGGGUGCUGAGAAGACUUCUUUACUCAAGUUAUUAUUGUAUCCAGCUUUGCUGCUUAUCGAUUGGAAUUUCCCCAAUUCACCCUCCCAUGAAAUGCACUUCUGGAAGAGGUUAAUAAACAAGGAACACAAGCCUCUGUGUGUGUGUGUGUGUGUGUGUAUGUGUGUAUGUGUACGCACUCAUGCAUGAGUAAGUGCACGGGUGUACAUACUUGUGAAUUAAUUUUAAAGACUUGCAGCUGUUGAAGGGAAGCUCUUCAGUAGUCCCAUAAUUACAGUAUAUUGAAUCAUUUUAAUAUAUCCAUGCAGCUCAAUUUUUCUUUCUUCUAAAGGAAUUCAUGUAAGAGUCUGAAUAAGGGUAGUGUUAUGACAAAUUAUUGACUUAGAAUUCUUAACAUUUUUACAUUCACUCAUUCAUAAAAGAGGAAAACCAAAAAAACAGCUUUAAAUAAUUCAGGAAAUAGAGCUUUUAUGAUCCAAAAGAGAACACCCACAGCAGCGUGUAGACUUGUUAGAACAGGUUAAGAAUCAGAAUUUUUAAACUGAAAGUUCAGAAUUGGUUUAGGGAAUUCUGGUAUACCGAAGAAUUUACAAUUCUUUAUUUCUGUCCUAUAUAUUUUCAGAGCUGAUGUUUCACACUCUAUUGUUUACCCAAUGCAAUGCACCUUUAGAACAACUGACCCUACUCGAGGUGACAGAGUCCCUGACCACUAAGGGAGGAUGUGCAAGUACAUGAUACUGGCUGCAAGCAGAGCAAGGAUACACCACUUCUUGGAAGCAUCAGAGGGAAUUAAGUAGCUCACUAUUGAGCUGAAAGCCUAGGAUUCAUAUGUAGAAUGUAAUUACUUCUGUAAGUUAGUAUCUUAUUUGAGAAAUGAUCGUAGUGUUGAAGAGGUAAAUUCAUGAAGGACAGCAGAAAGAAGGCCGCUUGAUGAUGGCAAAUCUUGAAAUGAGAAUCAAACCCUAUGGGCGCAAAACCAGUCAUUGAUCAUGGAGGAGGCAAGGCGACACUUCCGUUCUGGCUCCCUCUGGGGUCUCUGCCUCCUAUCCCCUCUGCUGUCUCCUUUGCACAGCCUUUGCUCCAACUCCAGGGAAAUGCAGAUAUUUCAUGAACACACGUUUCUUUUCAUGGCACUGCUGCUUUGUGUAUGCUAGUCCCUCUGCUGGGAAUGCCUUUUCCAUUCUCGCUUGCCUACUCAGGCAGCAGGAGCCAAGUUGACAAGUUCCUCCUUCUGGGAGAUUUUCACAUUCGUCUAAGCAAACAGAAGUUACAGUUGGCACAGUCUCUGUGCUAAUAACACCCAGCAUUUUGAUUGCCUCGGUACUUUUUUUUUUUUUUUGAAGAUUCAUUUUAUUUAUGUGAAAGGCAGAGUUACAGAGAGGGAGAGGUCCUCGAUCUGCUGGUUCACUCCUCCAGUGGCUGCAAUGACUGAGAUUGAGCCAGGCUGAAGCCAGGGUCCUGGAACUCCAUCCAGGUCUCUCGUGGAGAUACAGAGACCCAAACGCUUGGGCCAUCUUGGACUGCUUUCCCAGGCACAUUAGCAGGGAGUUGCUCAGAGGUGGAGCAGCCAGGACUCAAAUCGUCACUCAUGGGGGAUACAAGCAUCACAGGCAGCGACUUUGCCUGCUACACCACCGUGCUGUCAGUACUUACUCCCUGGUUUAGAGCAUGUCUUUUUCAUGACUCUGUCCAAUGAACUGAAAAUUCCUUGUAGACUGGACCAUACCCUAUUCCUCUGAGUUUCUAGUACCUCAAAUGAUUUGUGGAAGUCCAAAUAUGUUAAAUGAAGGAAUGAAUAAAACAACUCUAGAGUUUCGGAUUCACCUCUAUGCUGCAGAUUUAAAUCGACUUGUCUAAGAAAGAUGGAGAUACAAGCUCUUGGCUCUUGGCCCCAGCCAUUGCGGCCAUUUGGAGAGUGAAACAGUGGAUGGAAGAUUCUCCCCCACUCCUGUCAUGCUACCUGUAAAAUAUUUAAGAAAAAAAAAAAGAUGGAGCUAUAAUUGCACUUACUCAUAUUUAACUCAUAUAAAGACCUUCUAAGAUUGCUACAGUACCUUUCGUAAAUGGGACUUCUACAAUACUGAAAGAUUAGAGAUACAGAUACUGUUCAAAGGGACCCAGACAAUUGGCAGUGCUUUUUCUUGUAGAUGAGAAAGUCCCCUCAUUUAUCUUCAAUUUGGAUCAUGGUAAAAGUUUUCUGGGUUUGUGAUGAAAGAUCGAGUAUACAGAGGGCCCUGGAAUAAUAACACUGCUUCUUCCCUAAAUGGGUGUGUCCUAAGGGCAAAGGGCGUCCUGGGAAAGUCAUUAGAAGAGAAAGAAAAUCAUUGUAGGGUAUGCUGCUCCUAUGCAAUAUUCUAUAGUGCAACUUGCAAGUGCUUCGUUUGGGGUCUUUUGCUACACACAUUAAAAAUCUAUAGCAGGUGCACAUACAUGGUCUUUCUCUGCCAUCUGUGAAUCACCUGCAAGGCUGUGAAUUAUUUAUACUAGAUUGCUUUGAUUGCAGUCAUCAGCACUGCACUUGCCAAAGAUUGUUCACCGGGGAAUGUCUUUGAUUUCAGAGACGCUCUCCAGGUCCCCAGUUAAGUAUUAAUGGAAAUGAACUUACUACGCACUUAACAUAUACCUGUAAAGAAGCGUCUUGUCUUGAGAGCAAUCACAACGGGUACGUGGCUUGCUGAGGAUGACUGGAGAUUUAACCCAAUGAGUUAAUUUGUCUAAGGUGUAUGUGAGCUUAUUCACUUCAUGUUGUCGUCCUUCGUUUGCUAGCUCCGAUUUUUAAAAUUGGUAAUGAUUCGAAUUUCUGAAAUAGUUACUUCAGAAUCUGCCUCUGCUGUGGCCAACUUUGCAGUAGUUGGUUACAAAGACUUACAUCAGAACCUGUCAGCCAUUGGACUAAGGCCAACUUGCGUGCCUCGAUGGGCUGGGUGUUUGACUGGAAUGUUGAUCCAUUUGGCCACUGGGGUGGCCAGAGGAAAGCUGCAGGAUGAGACCUCUGGCUACAAGGGAACCUCGUGCUUUCAACUGAGUGUGCUGCCCGCAUAUAGUCGGUUGUUGUUGUUUUUGUUUUGUUUGUGGGGAAGCUUGGGAAGCACUGAGUGGGGGCGUGUUGUGAGGAGCAUACGAGGCGUUUCUGCAAGAGAGCCCCAAGGACCUUUGCGGUCAUGGUGUGUGGGUCCUGAUGUGCUGCCUGCGUGUGAAUCCUUGGUUUAUUCUUUAUUGGUUGGGCAACAGCAGGCCAGUUGUGUAGUCUCUCUGUGCCUCUGAUGGAGAUAAUAACAGAACUUAGAGGAUUGAGAUAGUUUGUCAAAAUAAUAUAGCCAGAGUGCUUAGAAAUGUUGACAUACAGUAAAGCUAUGAAAAGUGUGCACUGUUAGUUUCUUACUGAGGAAUAAGUUCAAUUCAGUAUCAUGUAAUGGUUGAGAAAAUAUGUCUCUAACACUUACUUUGAAAUCAAGAUAGACUAUUCUCCAAUACACAAGUAGCAAUACUCCAUGCUUGUAGUUACUCAGGGAGAAUCGAUAGUGUCCAAGGACUUCUCUUAAAAUUCUUGUUUUAUUGUGAUCAGUCUGAUAGUAUGGGCUUUUUUUUUUUUUUUUUAAGAUUUAUUUACUUACUCGAAAGAGUUAAACAGAAGGAGAGGCAGAGAGAGAGGUCUUCCAUCCACUAGUUCACUCCCCAGUUGUCUGCAACAGCCGGAGCUGCACUGAUCCGGAGCCAGGAGCUUCUUGUGGGUCUCCCAUCCAGAGGCAGGGGCCCAAUUCCUUGGGCUGUCUUCUACUGCUUUCCCAGGCCAUAGCAGAGAGCUGGAUCAGAAGUGGAACAGCUGGGACUCAAACCAGUUCCCAUAUGGGAUGCCGGCACUGCAGGCGGUGGCUUUACCUGCUAUGACAUAGCACUGGUCCCAAGUAGGAGUUUUAAAUUCUGGACAAGUUUGAUAAAAAUUCAAAUAAUUUUUUUCUUGGGCCAGAAUCACCCAGAGUUUAAGACUUAGGUUAAUGAUGGGAGAAAACCAAAACUGGUGAAUUGUAAUAAUUUGUAAUCCAAGUAAUUCAGCUCACCAUAGUGUUUUAGUGGGGAAAAUUGAGGGACUAGACAGACAUCAAAAGCUCCAUUAACCCUGUAAUGAUAGUCAGCUAAUGAGUCGAGACAUCCACAAAACAGUGGAGUCCAGAGCUUCAGCAGGUCUGUAUGUGGAUCAGGGAAUAAGCAAGGCUCCUGCCUGAGAAUGCAGGGUAUCUGUCCCUGAUGGUCGAUUUUUUUCUUCAUUUAACCACCAACCAACUACACCAACCAACAUUUUCUAGGUCUUGUCUUUAAUAGAUGAGUAUUAGGUAGAAAUUCGAAAUGGAUCUGAAUUUAUAAUUGUAAAGUUUCAUACCUUAAAAUGGGCAAAAAUUGAUGACUAGAGCAUUCUUUGAACUACAGGUGGCUCUUAUGUAGCAUUUUGAUUUGUUGUUAAAGCUGACAAAGACUUAGUAUUUCAUAAAGUCCAUAUAGGCGAAAGCCAAAGAAUUUCUCUGUAAGUUGAAACUGUACAAGCAUCUUUGUAUGAAUGCUACUGUUUUUGAAGGAUACCAACAAAGCUUUUCUUUCUUUCUUUUUUUAAAUCCCAUUCUGUCAACUCAGUGCCUCUGUUCUUUUUGGUGACACACAUUUCGUAACCACUCCCUCCCUGAAAAUUAAGGCUACCCAUUAACUAAGAUUGCGAUCAAGCCAGAAAUCAAUCAUGCCAUGUACUCGCCCCGCUGUGGCAGUCUCUCCCCAGUAACAACUUGGAAGCUGUGGAGAGUCAGUCGACAAUGGAAGUGCACAAAAUGGCAUCUUAAUGACCCGAAAGAGCUAAUACAGUUCUGUAAGUGCCUAGCUAAAUAUCACAGAGUGACUUGGACGCUGGGGAGAGCCUGGCUCAUUAUUCCACUCUGCUGAGCUAAAUCAUUUGGGGUCUCUUUAUUUGCUGUUGGCCUUUCUCUUUUCCUUUCUCUGCUCAUGCAUAAAGGAUAUUGAUUUAAAUAAAAGAUACUGUAAACAUGCACUUUGUUAGGGAAAUCUGACUAUGCAAGUAUAAUUUCAAAGGUCAGAGUUCUUGCUAUGCUUGAUUUACAUUAAUUUGUGCUCGAGAAAAAUGCCUACUUGACUAAAUAAAUACAAAAAGAAUUGAUUCACAUACUGCAUUGUGCUCUUCUAUUAUGUUCUCCCAGAGCUCAUCAAAGAGGAAAACUGUAUUUACCAGAAAACUUCAUACAUGGUAUAAGCCCAGUGUAGUGCAAGGGAUUGUACCUCUGGGAAAAAAAGUAUUUAAAAAAUUUUGUACCUGCAUCCUAAAAUGCUUUGCCAGAGUAAAAUAAACAGUUUUCAUUUUUAAAGAUUAUUUUAACACUUUCCAGAAUGACAUGCUUUUUAAAAAAAGAUUCGUUUGAAUGGCAGAGCUACAGAGAUGUGAGAGAGAGAGAAAGAGAGAGAGAGAGAGAGAGAGAGAGAGAGAGAGACCUUCUACACUCUAGUUCACUCCCCCAAAUGCCCACAGCAGCUUGGGCUGAGCCAGACUGAAGCCAGGAUCCAAAAACUCCAUGCUGGUCGCGUACAUGGGGGCAGCGACAGAAGUUCUUGGACCAUCUUCAACAACGUUUCCAGGUGUUUUACUAGGAAGUGGGAUCUGAAGGGGAGGAGCCAGGACUUGCAUCAGCACUCCAAUAGCGAAUGCAGGAUGCCAUUGUCCUCUCUGGCAGCCUAACCCACUGUGCCACACUGCUGGCCCCAACAUAGGCUUUUCUUCAAAAUUCACCACAGACAUUCCAAAGGUGUAUCUUUGCUAACAUGGAAAAACUGACAUAAUAAAAAAACGAUAACUACGUGGCCCAUGUAUUGCAAAAAUAGUAAAUGAUUUAAUUCAUUUGUUCCAGUAGAAAAAACUGUUAAGUCAUAAUUCUCACAAAUUUCACUUUGAGUGCCGAUUUGAUUAUAUUAAUGCAUUCUUCUGUGAAAAAGGUUACUGCCUAUUUUGUUAGAGUAUAGUCCAUUCUGUGCAUUUCAAAAUAGCUUAGUUAGCAUUUUAUUCAUUUAAUUGUGGUCAAAAGAUAAAAAUGUGUUAAAAGCUUGGCAAGUUAAUAAAUAAGUAGAAUAGUAUCAUAAUGACAAAAUCCCUUAACUAUGUGGCAUCUUGCACAUUAAAAAAAUACUCUUGGGUAUUAUUCUGGCCAGAUGUGGUUCACGUUUCCAGCUCAACUCCUUACCAGAGGAAUUGUGAAAUGGGGAUUAUUGAUUCUAGCUUUUAAGCUGCUAGUAAAGUUGCUGGUGAUGAUAGUGACCAUUAAAUGAUCAUUUUCCUCUGCUUACUCCCCCUGCAGUGUUAAUUUCUAUAAUGUUCCCUUUCAUUCAUUUGACAGUUCUUUGAAGCAGAUAGCAAUAUUGCUAUAGUACAGGUUAAAAAAAUCUCACAUGCCUAAGAGACAUGAUUGGGUAAAAUUUGUGUAUAUUAACAUGCUGUGUUUUGUAUCUGUGUAUGUAUCUAUAUAAAUAUACACUCACAAUGAACACACACAUAAAUUUUUUGUAAAAAACACAGUGUAAUUGAGAAUGCUUCAAAAAGUUCAUGGAAGGGGCCGGCACCGUGGCUCGCUUGGUUAAUCCUCCGCCUACAGCGCCAGCAUCCCAUAUGGGCGCCAGUUCUAGUCCUGGUUGCUCCUCUUCCAGUCCAGCUCUCUGCUGUGGCCAGGGAGGGCAGUGGAGGAUGGCCCAGGUGUUUGGGCCCUUGCACCCACAUGAGAGACCAGGAGGAAGCGCCUGGCUCCUGACUUUGGAUUGGUGCAACACCUACCGUAGCAGCCAUUUGGGGAGGGAACCAAUGGAAGGAAGACCUUUCUCUCUGUCUCUCUAAUCUUAUCUAUCAAAUUAAAAAAAAAAAGUUCAUGGAAAAUGGAAUUAAAAACUAGGCUUAUUUUGUGUAUUGUGAUCUUGAAAUGUAUGCACAGUUCUUAAUACACAUUCACAUAACAUUUUUGAAAGCCUAUGUUUUUGAAUAUACAUAUAUAUGUCUUCUAAACAGAACUUAUAAAGGAGAAACUACAUAUAUGAUACAUUACCAAAUACUGUAUUCGAUAGGAUGCAUGCCAUGUCAUUCAGUCUACUAAGUCCACUUACUUAGAAGAACCAGGUAAUUACUAUAUUUUUAUUUGCCUUCAGUUAACUGCUUAAGAGCUUCAGCGUUGCGUCUCCCUGGGUGCAUAUACAUGCACUCAUCUGGAGUCAAUGAAAUGUUACUGUGAAGAGCUAGUCUCUAUCAUCUGUUCAGUUAAGUCAGGACAGCAUACGUUCUGAGUGUCCAUCAUGUGGCCAAGGAGUUCUGCCACUUAAAAGGAGAAUGUGAAACAGACAGCUCCCUAUCAAUAUCACAUGCAUUUUCAUGGGGCAUGUGGGUUUCCCUUUCUCAUGAUCUAUUGUUUCAGUGUAACAAAGGCCCACUGCCAUGACAUCAAGGAAUUUUGGAGUCAUUGUACCUCCUGUAGGGCAGUAAAUCCAAAUUCUUCAUUUUACGUAGUAUUUAAAAAUGAAGUUUGCCGGCGCCGCGGCUCACUAGGCUAAUCCUCCGCCUAGCGGCGCCGGCACACCGGGUUCUAGUCCCGGUUGGGGCGCCGGAUUCUGUCCCGGUUGCCCCUCUUCCAGGCCAGCCCUCUGCAGUGGCCAGGGAGUGCAGUGGAGGAUGGCCCAGGUGCUUGGGCCCUGCACCUGGCUCCUGGCUCCUGCCAUCGGAUCGGCGCGGUGCGCCGGCCGCAGCGCGCCGGCCGCGGCGGCCAUUGGAGGGUGAACCAGCGGCAAAGGAAGACCUUUCUCUCUGUCUCUCUCUCUCACUGUCCACUCUGCCUGUCAAAAAAAAAAAAAUAAAUAAAAAAAUAAAAAUGAAGUUUGUGGGUCUUUUUAUUCACAAAUAGAAAUAUCGAAGCAAAAUUUAUGACACCAAGUGUUGGACUUUUUAGGCUUUUUAUUUUGGGUUAGUUUUAAAUUUCCAAAACCAACAUUGAAGCAGUACAAGUGUCCCUCCUCCAGCUUCCCAGCUUCCCCUAUUAUGAACUUCUGUAUUAGUUUGCUCUGUGGGGAGCAAUUCGGACUAUACUGUUACUCGAAUUAGGACUUAUUCUAUGCAUCUGCUCUCCCACAAUAUGGCGCUGGGAGAGAAGUAAACAGCUUCCGCACAGCUGCCUCCAGUUCAACUAAUAAACUGUAGGACUUGCUCCUGAUUGGAGGAGAGCAGCGUACUCGGCGUGUGGGCAGCCGAGUUGGGAUUGGCGGAGGAGGACUAUAAAGGAGGAGAGAGACGGCAUGCACCAGGAACAUCUAUGGGGAACAUCUAAGGGAACCCGUGCAGCCCCCGAGAGAACCGGCCGGCGGUGUGCCGCUCCCCUGCGGAAGUGGGGAAUGUGGCCAGGGGGAACUGCCCUUCCACGGAGGUGGAGGGGAUAGUAGCCAACCCGGGAAGAACCAGCAGCAAACCCGGGGAGGGCCGAGCAGACAGAAAGAACAGCGCAGGGUCCUGUGUCGUUCCCCCACGAAGACGGGGAGCGACAUAAUGGUGCCGUGACUCGGAUAUGAAGCCUAGGCAGGGCUUAGUGUCGUUCCUCCACGAAGAGGGGGAGCGACAUUGCUCUGUCGAGUACUCACAUUUUUAAAGUCUUUUACACUCAGAAUUUCAGUGACUUUUUAAUUUUAAAGAUUUGCUUAUUUGAAAGGUAGUUAAAAAGGCAGAGGCAAAGAUUGAGAAAGAGAUAGAGAAAUUAAGAGAGAGAGAAAGAAAUUGAGAGAGAGAAAUUGAGAGAGAGAAAUUGAGAGAGAGAAAAAAAUUGAGAGAAAAAUUGAGAGAGAGGGAGGGAGGGGGAGGUUUUCCAUCCACUGGCUCACUCCCCAAAUGGCCACAAUGGCUGGAACUGGGCCCAUCUGAAGCCAGGUCUGCCAAGCACAUGCAGGGGUCCAAGAACUUGGGCCAUCUUCCACUGCUUUGCCAGGUCAUAAGCAGAGAGCUGGAUUGGAAAUGGAGCCGCCGGGACUUGAACCGGCAUCCAUAUCAGAUGCUGGCGCUGCAGCUGGUGGCUUUCACCCGCUUUGCCACGGUGCCAGCCCCUGUAUGAUGCUUUAAUGAGGAAGGGAAACUCAUCCAUCUUCUGGCUUUCAAGUUCAUCUUUAAAACCUUGGAACACACCUCUUUCUGGGAAAGAAUAUCCUGGAAAAGUCUGAGAUGACGCUGUGGGAGAUCCACUUCAGCUGGUGCAGUGGUAAUUAGUGACACUGGUGGAGAGACAUGUAUUUUCAGUCCACAGACCCUGAGUGGAGUGAAGGAAGUUUGGCCUGGGGAGAGUCUGUCUGAGGCCAUGAUGAACACGGGGGAGGCAAGGACCUACAUUUGUAUGUGUAGAGAAUGCUCCAGGGCAGUGAGGCCUUGGGAAAUCUGGUGACCGUGGUCCAUGGCCUCCCAGGGCACACCCACCCCAAGCAGGAUGAAGCUGAUGACAGUGUCGCUGCAGGGGUCACUUCCUGUUCACAUCACUUCCGUUGCCUCCUUCAUUAUACAUUUCUCCAAGAACACCUUUUAACCAUCCUGUAACUAUCAUAAGUCUAAUUUUGACACCUUUCAUUGGCAAUUGCAAUAGAACUCAUGCCCUGAAGUUUGGAACUAUUUAAAUAUCACCAGCUCAACUCUGACUCUUGGUUUGUAGAGCUGCUGAUAAGAAAUAGGAUAAGCAAAGUUUCCUGCUUUGCCUGGUGAGGACCAGGGACGGUUACCUGCUCAACAUCCUCUCAUUAGAGGUGACCCUGUGUGCACUUUCUGAACCAGCGCUAUCCCUGUCUUCCUCUAUUUCCUUACCCUGUUUUAUGCUCACUCCCUGACACUGUAAUGUUCAAUUAUUAAUCCACUUACUGCCUUCCUCGUGGAUGUAAGCUCAGAGUAAGACUUGGUCUAUUUUAUUCACCAAUGUGUCUUCAAUGCUGCUGUUGGGCACGUUUUUAACUGCUUGAAUCAAUGCCUGAAUUAUGGAAACUUUGAAACUGUUUAUAUCUCAUUAUAUUAUGUAGGAGGGGUCUUACAAAAGGUCAUGGAAAAAGCCUGUUAGGAAAGAACUAUGCAUGGAUUUCAGAAUAUUUUUGGACCAAAAGUAAACUUACCUUGUAAUUCCAUUUUCCC